CUCAAGCUUAAUGUAAUGAAAUAUGACAGGGGAAUGAGGGAUCAAAAAAUGUUUGAAAUAAUAUGAUAUAGUUUAUGGAUUCUCCCUUGUGAACAAUUACAUUUAAUUCCAAUUAAUCCGAUCAUCAAUAGUCACAGGAGUUUCUUUUUGAAACAACAGAAACUCCUGCAUUUGUUCCAAAUCAUAUCGGUUGGCACAUCUCUGAGUUAUGACUCACAUCUCUAGCCCAGUGCCCUUUUGCUUAAUGCUGUUAUUGAAUGUUUUGGUUUUGGUCUACAAUAGUACUGUAUAGCUAUAUGAAAAAAUUUGAUCUGUACAUGGUUGAAAUGCCACAUAAAGAUAAAUCACUAUGCAAAAAAAAUUUGUUCACUAGAUCGUAUUAAAUCUUCCUCCCAAUAUGAGUUGUCAACAUCUAUUGAAGAUUAUUGGAAUUCUAAAAACAUCAUUAUGUGCUUAAUUCACCAAGCAGAAGAACUAAGAGAAAAAUGGAUUCACAUUGGAAAGCAGGAGGCCAUCAUUGAAACAGAGGUUUAUAGGCAAAAACCAUAAUGUCAAAAAUACCUUUAAUCAAUGUUAAAAAGAAAGCAGAAGAAUUAGCAAAUAUAUUGAGUCAUGAUGGAUUUAAAGCCAAUGGCUGGUUAUUCCUAUGGAAGCAUAGACAUUGGAUUAAAUUUAAGAUAUCACAUAACAAGAAAAAAGUGCUAAUGCUGAGAGUGCAAAAAAACUGGAACAACUCUGCAUUAAGUUUAGAAUACAUCAAGACUUUUCUGUGCAGAAAAGUUGCAGAAAUUUCAAGUUGGUUGUUUUCUGCAAAAUUUAGCAUGUGAUACACACAGAUGCAGUUAACAAAUGAAAAGUGGCAUCUUAUGUCUUUCUUAUAUUUAGCAAAC
rnacentral:lncRNA from 1 species